UGAGGAAUAUUGGUCAAUGGGCGCAAGCCUGAACCAGCCAUCCCGCGUGCAGGAAGACGGCGCUAUGCGUUGUAAACUGCUUUUCCAGGGAGAGAAACUUGCGCACGUGUUGCGCAAUUGACGGUACCCUGGGAAUAAGCAUCGGCCAACUCCGUGCCAGCAGCCGCGGUAAUACGGAGGAUGCGAGCGUUAUCCGGAUUCAUUGGGUUUAAAGGGUGCGUAGGCGGACUAUUAAGUCAGUGGUGAAGUCCUGCAGCUUAACUGCAGAACUGCCGUUGAUACUGAUAGGCUUGAGUAUGGUUAAGGUAGGCGGAAUGUGUAAUGUAGCGGUGAAAUGCUUAGGUAUUACACAGAACACCAAUUGCGUAGGCAGCUUACUGAGCCGACACUGACGCUGAGGCACGAAAGCGUGGGGAUCGAACAG
rnacentral:rRNA from 1 species